rnacentral:rRNA from 1 species
UUAGGAAUCUACCUAGUAGUGGGGGAUAGCUCGGGGAAACUCGAAUUAAUACCGCAUACGACCUACGGGAGAAAGGGGGCAACUUGUUGCUCUCGCUAUUAGAUGAGCCUAAGUCGGAUUAGCUAGAUGGUGGGGUAAAGGCCUACCAUGGCGACGAUCUGUAGCUGGUCUGAGAGGAUGAUCAGCCACACCGGGACUGAGACACGGCCCGGACUCCUACGGGAGGCAGCAGUGGGGAAUAUUGGACAAUGGGGGCAACCCUGAUCCAGCCAUGCCGCGUGUGUGAAGAAGGCCUUUUGGUUGUAAAGCACUUUAAGCAGUGAAGAAGACUCCAUGGUUAAUACCCAUGGACGAUGACWUUAGCUGCAGAAUAAGCACCGGCUAACUCUGUGCCAGCAGCCGCGGUAAUACAGAGGGUGCAAGCGUUAAUCGGAAUUACUGGGCGUAAAGCGAGCGUAGGUGGCUUGAUAAGUCAGAUGUGAAAGCCCCGGGCUUAACCUGGGAACGGCAUCUGAUACUGUUAGGCUAGAGUAGGUGAGAGGAAGGUAGAAUUCCAGGUGUAGCGGUGAAAUGCGUAGAGAUCUGGAGGAAUACCGAUGGCGAAAGCAGCCUUCUGGCAUCAUACUGACACUGAGGUUCGAAAGCGUGGGUAGCAAACAGGAUUAGAUACCCUGGUAGUCCACGCCGUAAACGAUGUCUACUAGUCGUUGGGUCCCUUGAGGACUUAGUGACGCAGCUAACGCAAUAAGUAGACCGCCUGGGGAGUACGGCCGCAAGGUUAAACUCAAAUGAUGACGGGGCCCGCACAGC